rnacentral:rRNA from 1 species
AGUGAACGCUGGCGGUAGGCCUAACACAUGCAAGUCGAACGGCAGCACAGUAAGAGCUUGCUCUUACGGGUGGCGAGUGGCGGACGGGUGAGGAAUACAUCGGAAUCUACUUUUUCGUGGGGGAUAACGUAGGGAAACUUACGCUAAUACCGCAUACGACCUACGGGUGAAAGCAGGGGAUCUUCGGACCUUGCGCGAUUGAAUGAGCCGAUGUCGGAUUAGCUAGUUGGCGGGGUAAAGGCCCACCAAGGCGACGAUCCGUAGCUGGUCUGAGAGGAUGAUCAGCCACACUGGAACUGAGACUCGGUCCAGACUCCUGCGGGAGGCAGCAGUGGGGAAUAUUGGACAAUGGGCGCAAGCCUGAUCCAGCCAUACCGCGUGGGUGAAGAAGGCCUUCGGGUUGUAAAGCCCUUUUGUUGGGAAAGAAAAGCAGCAGGUUAAUACCCCGCUGUUCUGACGGUACCCAAAGAAUAAGCACCGGCUAACUUCGUG